rnacentral:rRNA from 1 species
GAUGAACGCUGGCGGCGUGCCUAAUACAUGCAAGUCGAGCGAACAGACGAGGAGCUUGCUCCUCUGACGUUAGCGGCGGACGGGUGAGUAACACGUGGAUAACCUACCUAUCAGACUGGGAUAACUUCGGGAAACCGGAGCUAAUACCGGAUACUAUAUUGAACCGCAUGGUUCAAUAGUGAAAGACGGUUUUGCUGUCACUUAUAGAUGGAUCCGCGCCGCAUUAGCUAGUUGGUAAGGUAACGGCUUACCAAGGCAACGAUGCGUAGCCGACCUGAGAGGGUGAUCGGCCACACUGGAACGGAGACACGGUCCAGACUCCUACGGGAGGCAGCAGUAGGGAAUCUUCCGCAAUGGGCGAAAGCUUGACGGAGCAACGCCGCGUGAGUGAUGAAGGUCUUCGGAUCGUAAAACUCUGUUAUUAGGGAAGAACAAAUGUGUAAGUAACUAUGCACGUCUUGACGGUACCUAAUCAGAAAGCCACGGCUAACUACGUG